CCUAAGGACCCUUACCUGCCGCCCCCUACUCUGCUGACAAAACCUGCCAUGAGAAAACCAGCUUGAGGCCAAUGUACUUACUAAUAAAAUAUAAAAAUAUCUAGAGAACUUGUAAUGUGUCUCUUGGCAUGAGGGGUCAAAAAGCCUGCUAGGAGAGAACUCACUCAGCACAGAAGUCAAGGUGACCCAUUCAUGGAGCAUUGGUUUUCAGGGAUGAGAGAAAAUCUCCCUGCCCCAGCCAGUCUCCUGUGGCUCAGGUCACAGCAAGAGAGUGUGAAUAAAAUGGAGAAAGGUGGCUUUUGCUGCACACUCAGAGAGACAGUGGAGAAGGCAAUGGCACCCCACUCCAGUACUCUUGCCUGGAAAAUCCCAUGGACGGAGGAGCCUGGUGGGCUGCAGUCCAUGGGGUUGCUAGGAGUCAGACACGACUGAGUGACUUCCCUUUCACUUUUCACUUUCAUGCACUGGAGAAGGAAAUGGCAACCCACUCCAGUGUUCUUGCCUGGAGAAUCCCAGGGAUGGGGGAGCCUGGUGGGCUGCCGUCCAUGGGGUCGCACAGAUUCGGACAUGACUGAAGCGACUUAGCAGCAGCAGCAGCAAAGAGACAGAGGGGUAUAAGUAGUCCUCUCUUGGAGAUCCUCUGCAUGUGACAUAUCGAGGGGUAGAAGCACUCUAUCCCCGCUUCACCUAGGCCACUGUGCAACUUUGACACCUUGGGGCCUGGGGCGUUGGCAGUGGUGCCGAUGAUGGUGGCAGAACAGAUGCUGAGAUGGCAGGAGCAGCAGCACACAGGCAUGCACACCAGCUGCAGCAGUGCCGGCAGCAGCAGGGCCGCUUCCAGUUAGUGCAGCAGGGUCACGGAGCCCACUGUGUCCAUAGUGACGACGACAAGGCCAGUAACGCCCAGUGGGUGUGGCGAGCCCAGUGACACAAGGAUGGGACCAGAGAAUCCCAUGGACAGAGGAGCCUGGUGGGCUGCAGUCCACAGCAUCGCACAGAGUCGGACAUGACUGGAUGCCAACGACUCGGUAACACGGAGUCGGACACGACUGAAGCGACUUAGCAUGCACGCAUGCACACAGGUACUUUUUUGAAGCUU
ensembl:lncRNA